GUACCAAUAAAAAUGAACCAAAGACCAUGCUAUAUGUAUAUUUUUUACCUGCAAGUCCAUGUAAUUAAUAUAAUAUACAAAAACCAGAAAAGAAAGCGGAAACACAUCAACAAUGGCAGAAGGAGCAAAGAGGCGUGCAGUUGUUACAGGUUCAAAUCAAGGGAUUGGAUUUGGAACAGUUACGCUAUUGGCUUCAGAAGGGGUCAAGGUUGUGCUAACUGCUUUGGAUGAGAAGAGAGGUCUUGAAGCUAUUGAAAAGCUAAAAGACUAUGGCUUCUCAGAUCUUGUGGUUUAUCAUCAGCUCGAUGUAACUGACCCAAUAGCAUUGCUUUCCUUGCCGAUUUUGUCAAAACCCAAUUUGGGAAACUCGAUAUCUUGGUAAACAAUGCAGGGAUUGGUGGAACCUUUGUAGACCCUGAAGCUUUCAAAGCUGCUGCAGCUGCAGGCAUGGGUAAGAAUGAUGUAGUAGUCAACUUGAGUAAACUAAUCUCUCAAACAUAUGAUUUAGCUGAAGAAUGUGUGAAAAUAAACUACUAUGGUGCCAAGAAAAUGACUGAAGCAUUCCUUCCUCUCCUUCAGCUAUCUGAUUCUCCAAGAGUUUCCAAUAUUACUUCUGGCGGGGGACAGUUCAUGAUAUGAACAUAUACCAAAUGAAUGGAGAGAUGUUGUUGAGUGAUGCUGAGAAUCUUACAGAACAGAGAGUGGAUGAGGUUUUGAGGGAGUUUCUAAAAGACUUCAAAGAAGAUUUGCUGGAAACCAAAGGCUGGCCUACUUCUCUUUCUGCAUAUAUACUCUCCAAAGCAGCCUCGAAUGCAUACACUAGAAUUGUGGCCAAGAAGUACACAAACAUCGGCGUCAAUUGUGUCUGCCCUGGAUUUGUUAAAACAGAAAUGAGCUUCAAUGCUGGUGUCUUAACCCCUGAUGAAGCUGCUGAAAUUAUUGUGCGGUUAACAGUGUUUCCGAAUGGCAAUCCAUCUGGACUCUACUUCUCUUCAGAAGAAGUCUCACCAUAUAAUAUACUCUUUCAAUUUUAUACAUUGUAAAUCUAGUAUUUCAAAUAAAAAUGUUAAUCAUGAUUGAUGAAGGUAUAUAAACACUUUGUUUAUGAUAAAAUGGCCUUAAUAAACUGCACAAUU